CAUUACUGAGUUUACGCUCUAUAACCCUUUGUGAACAUACCUAUAACUGUUGCUUCGGCGGGUAGGGUCUCCGUGACCCUCCCGGCCUCCCGCCCCCGGGCGGGUCGGCGCCCGCCGGAGGAUAACCAAACUCUGAUUUAACGACGUUUCUUCUGAGUGGUACAAGCAAAUAAUCAAAACUUUUAACAACGGAUCUCUUGGUUCUGGCAUCGAUGAAGAACGCAGCGAAAUGCGAUAAGUAAUGUGAAUUGCAGAAUUCAGUGAAUCAUCGAAUCUUUGAACGCACAUUGCGCCCGCCAGCAUUCUGGCGGGCAUGCCUGUUCGAGCGUCAUUUCAACCCUCAAGCUCUGCUUGGUGUUGGGGCCCUACAGCUGAUGUAGGCCCUCAAAGGUAGUGGCGGACCCUCCCGGAGCCUCCUUUGCGUAGUAACUUUACGUCUCGCACUGGGAUCCGGAGGGACUCUUGCCGUAAAACCCCCAAUUUUCCAAAGGUUGACCUCGGAUCAGGUAGGAAUACCCGCUGAACUUAAGCAUAUCAAUAAGCGGAGGAAAAGAAACCAACAGGGAUUGCCUCAGUAACGGCGAGUGAAGCGGCAACAGCUCAAAUUUGAA
rnacentral:rRNA from 1 species